GCGGCCUCUUGAGAAUUCAGCGUGGUCUGCGUUACCUCGGUCACUCCUGCCGCGUCUGUGUCCUCAUCCGGAAAGCGGGGACAGUGUCUGCAGAUACGGAGUAUAUAACCGUGCGCCUGAGAGCCCGUCGCCUGGGUCACCAAUUUCAACCAACCCACGGUCCUGGAGGAUCGGUCUCUGGCCUCGUUCGGAUCCAACCCUUGCUGAAUCUUUGUCUCCGGGAAUGUCCAUCUUUGACUUCUGGCCCAUUCUGGUGUUCCUGGUCUCCGGACCUGAAAUGCAAAAACGAAUGAGGUGGCACACCAGCACUGGGAAGAGAACGCCCUUCCUUUUCCUUUCCCUACGGCCUUGCACUGUCCCUCCGCCGUUCACGGACAAAAUCGAAACCUCGUGCCAGCUGGCGAGGGAGAAACGGCGCAGAUCCAGUAACACAAGCAGGACAGAGGAGGGCGGAGGAGGAGGUGAGAGCCAGUCCUUCCAGAACACCAGGGCGGGGGCCGCGGGGCAAACCCAGAACUGUGCACCCCCCCCCAUGAGGCAGGACGCCCUUCAGCACAGACCGGAAGCACCUGGCCACAGGCGUCAGAGCCGCUGGGAACCCUUGAUCUUCUGAUCCCACGGAUCCUUUAAAGACUCUCCUUUUUUGUUUCACCCCAAACCCAGAGAGCUGAGAGUGUGCGGACGCCCCGCCCCCGAUGGGAUCACCCCUGCCUCCUCCAGCGUCUCCUUCCCACAGAGCUUCCUCGGAGCACAGGCCCGGCGCCUAGCAUCCUCCCUGACUCGCUCAUGGCCACACCCCGCAGCAUCCUGAAUUCCCAAAAAAGCAGCUUCCGCUCAGGAACCACCCCCGAGAGAGCGGCAGACACUCUAUACCUUCCCUCCUCUCCUUAGAGCUCCGCUACGUCACGCGUCACCCUGGCUCUCAGCAGCCAGUCCUGUCCUUGUUGUAGAAAGGUGUGAGACCCCGGGCUGAAACCCCGCACCACCCUGUCUGAGGGACUCCUCACCUUCGCUGUAUUUCUUCUCUCCCGCUCCCCAGGACUGAUCUGCCCUCUGAGCCCUGCUGUGGGACACGCACUGCACUAGGUGGGAAAUAAUGAGGAAUGCAGGAUGACACCGAGGACAGAGUCCCUCUCCUUGAGGAGCCCGUGCUGGGCUGGGGGCUCAGGAAGGGUAUGCAUGGGGUGUCCUGGGACCCCGCAGGAAGAGCACAUCCUUGAGGGGGGACAAGCAAGGACACUUCCGGAGGGACAGAGCUUCUAAGCUGACGCCUCAGAGAUCACAUGAGAUAACCAGACUUUCUAUGAGGCUCCCACACGUGCACGGGCGGGAGGUGAGAGGAGGAGCCACGGACGUCCGUGCGCGCACCAUGCAGUGGAGCCCAGGGUGCGGGAUGGCAGAAGGCAGAGCUGGGAAGUGCUGGUCACCUUGUGGAGGACCAAGAAGUUUGGGCUUUGUCCUGAAGGCCACAGGGAGCUUCUGAAGGGUCAACGCAGAAGAAUGGCAUAAGCAGAUUUACGGUUUUAGAAGACUGUUCUGAUCGUUUUCUGGAGGAUGGAGGGUCAAGGCUGCGAGUGGGGACAUCAGGCAGACAGCCACAGCAGUGACCUGCCUUGGAGCCAGUGAAGGCCUCAGUGAGCUCGGGACGGAGGGCAUGGGGGCACUGAGUCCAAACGUCAGAGAAGCAAGACCUGGUGCUGUCCUAGAUGGAGGGGCUGAGCGGAGAGGGCAGGCAUUAAGGAUGGCAUCCAUGUGUCUAACCUGGGCAACCGCCUGAACUGGGUAGCUGGAGGCAAAGAUGGGGCGGGGGGAGGCAGUGGCGGAAGUAAUUUCAGACAUGUUGGAGAUACCU